CGGGCGCCGCGUCCACGCUGCCGGGCCCAGAGCGCGCCGCACACCUACCUGUGCCAGGUGAGCCGAGGGCGGGGCGCGGGGAGCGGGACCGGGGCGGCUCGGGGCGCAGCGCGGGGCCGCCCGCUCCUCCUCGCUCCUCCGGCCGCUGGAGUCGCCUCAGCCGCCCAGCGCGAGGCGCUUCCUCAUUUUCGGCAACUUCCUUAACGCGCCCGGGCAGGCCCCGCACUUCCUCCCGGCCGCCGCGCCCCAGCGCCCCGGGCCCGCCCAGCAGCCCGUGCGCCCAGUGCCUUCGCGCCCGGGGCCCGCCCCGAGAGUCCGCCCCGACCGACCCCGCGCUCCCCGACCCUUCCCCGACCCCUCCCCGUCGCCUGUGCGCCCCCGUGCCCGGGUCUCGCCCCGAGCGCCCCCUGCGUCCCCCGGCCCUUUCCCGGCCGCCUGCGCGCCCCGGUGCCCCCUUGGCUGGGUCCCGCCCCGAGCGCCCCCCGCGCCCCCGCCGCCCGUGAGUCCUGGGGCCCCCAGGCCCGGUCCCGCCCCAGCGCCCCCAGGCCCAGGUCGCGCCCCAAGUGCCCCGGCGCCCCUGCGCCUGCCUUCCAGGCACUAAGGGCCCGCGCUAGGGGCCUUCCUAAGCAGACCAGGGGCGCUACCAAAAGCAGGCCACCUGGCCGGCCUGGCCCGCCACCUGGCUGUUUGAAGCAGCGGCCGCACUCAGGGGCGCGCCCAGUUCGCCUUGUCGUUGCGUGGGAAAAAGAGUGACCAGGCAUUCCUGGUCGCCAAGCCAGGGCACUCCCGCUGAUCUGAGAGCACAAGGCCUCCGCCGUCCGGCCAGGUGGCCUUGUGCUGUCUGUAGAUGAGAGGCAGACUUCGCCGUGCCCCUCUGGAGGGGCCCAGCGCGUCCAACGCGGCCGCUUUCUGAAGGCUCUCAUUGUUGGAAGGUUCUUGACUGUGAGUUUAACUUGCUUCUUUCUACCCACGACCGACUCUCGGGCCUCGACCUAAGGAAAUUAAGUCUAACAUCUGCUGUAGUUUAAAUACAUGUUUUAAAAACACCUGCCUAAGCUCCCUCCGCCAUCCCCUCUCCCCACUUUUUCUAUUGCACAGCCCCUUUGAAAACCUUGCUGUGAAAUAGUUCCCAGGUCCUCAUCUUCUUGGUAAGAGCAGUUGGCAGUACGUGUUUUAAAAGGCUGUGCCCCGAGCCAAAAAAAAUAAAUAAAAUCAAAAUAAAGUAUACAGUGCGUUAGAUUAUAAUUGCCAUGGAAAAACACAAGGUGAUAGGAACAUGGACUCUCACCGGAGCCCAGUCUCUCCCACUUGGACGUUCUCUUCCGUACAUUUUUGUCAUUAAAUGUGUAACUCAAGUGAAGGAUUUUUACUGUAUUUGCUAUAUUUGUCACGCAUUAGUUUUGCUUCCAACAGCAGAUGAAAUAGUCGCACUCUCCAAACACAGGCUGCACAGCUUGCAGACAGGAGGUUUCUGGAGCUCACAGGCUGUUGUUGGACGUGGACAACGAGGACCAGCUUUGAAUCUAUGGCCAACAGACACACGGAGAGAUGCUCAACAUCACUCGUCACCAGGGAAAUGUCAAUCGAACCACAAUGAGAUACCACCUCACACCUGUCAGAAUGGCUAAAAUUAACAACUCAGGAAACAACAGAUGUCGGCGAGGAGGUCUCAGAUUCUCCGGUUCGGCGUGGAGGACACGAAGGAGGGUGAGGGAGGGACGUUGUCCUCCAGUUCACGGCUGUCGAGCAGAGAAGUGGGGCCGGUGUGGACACCCUGCCAUUCUCUAAUGGAGAUCUGCUUCGAGUGUUGCGUUUUUCUGAUGUUUCCGGUGUCCUACAGGAGGGCGUGUGGCUGAACAAUGAGGACAGACCGCUCUACACUCUGCGUCUUCGUGUAGACCCUACUAGGCACGCAGACCCCUUGAUAGGAACUGUACAUCGGAGCGACAUUUCUGUGAAACGAAACAGAUGCACUGACCACACGGAACCGAUCCUGUUGACCUUGCCUGCUGUUACGAGGACCGCAGCUUGCGAGGCAACGUAUAAACACGUUCUCUGCUCUGACCUUCUGUAUUAGAGAAGGUACGUUUUGCAGCAUGCUUGGACCCUUGAGGAUUUAGACGGGAUCGCACCCAGAGGAUAGGCAACUUGGGGCAGCAGGACACAGAGGGUGCAUCUGUGUCCUGUGUUCCCGCCCUGCUCCUGGGAGCUGCCCGGGCAUCAGCCCUGGUGACCAGGAGGGUGUGGUUUGGGACAUCCCAAAGGCGUCCCUCAUUCUGCACUCUCCCUACUUGUCAGAGCUGCAUGGAGGGCUGAAGACGUCCUGAGCACCCGAGCACGAGAAUACCUCAGCAUCAGAGAUCAAGGAGAAGAGCCACGUUUCCAUCGGACUGGACGGUCCCCUGCUGUCCACCGGCCUCGGCAUCUCUGCUCUCCAGACAUUUAAAGACACUGUCAAUGGCAUCCAGGAUUGGCAAAGGACAGGUGCAGUCAGAUCUGGCUGGUGGCCUCCCUUACCCAACCUCUCGUGGCAAGAAUGGCUUUUACAUUUUUAUUAUUAUCAGUUUAUACAUUUUUUGAAGUUUAUUUAUUUUUGAGAGAGAGACAAAGAGAACGCGAGCAGGGGAGGGGCAGAAAGAGAGGGAGACAGAAUCCGAAGCAGGCUCCAGGCUCUGAGCUGUCAGCACAGAGCCGGAUGCGGGGCUCAAACCCACGAACCGUGAGGUCAUGACCUGAGCUGAAGUCGGACGCUCAACUGACUGAGCCACCCAGGUGCCCUGUUUUUACAUUUUCAAAGGGUUGUUAAACACACACACACACACACACUGAACAAAGUAGGCCGUGCUCCAGAAAUUCUACAUGGCCCCCCAAACCUCCCAGUUUUACAUCUGUUUCCAUGCAGAAAAAGUGUGCUGGUCUGUGUCGUAGAAAGUCUACAUUAUUCAAGGAGCUUACCAAGUAAGAGUGCCAGCAUCGUGCAUCGUCCUCUACCUGAAUUCCUUGCCAAGUCAGAGCGGGACGAGAGUGCAGCCUUCCUCAUUAAGGAAAAUGAUAGAAACGAUGUGAUCGGAAGUUGGAAAGCACGGUGCAGUCAUAGGACUGAGCAGCUAUGGGGAGCUGAGCUACCCAGGUCUUAGGGAAAAGAAAUACGGGUCUCCAGACCCUCAGGGCCCACUGAGGCUGCCUGUGGUCAGACGCCUGCUACCUUCUGCCAUCCACACCUCCUCCGGGCAGCCAGCGAUUAGGUCUGGGCUUAUAUUAAAUCUCAGGUUAGGGGCACCUGGGUGGCUCAGUGAGUUGAGCGUCCGACUUCGGCUCAGGUCAUGAUCUCGCAGUUCGUGAGUUCGAGCCCCGCGUCAGGCUCUGUGCUGACAGCUCAGAACCUGGAC